AGUAACGCGUAGGUAAUCUACCCUUAUGACUGGGAUAACAUUGGGAAACUGGUGCUAAUACCGGAUAUCCUUUUUUGCUGCAGGGCGAAAAAGGAAAGGUGGCCUCUUCAUGAAAGCUACCGCGUAGGGAUGAGCCUGCGUACCAUUAGCUAGUAGGUGUGGGUAACGGCCCACCUAGGCAACGAUGGUUAGCGGGUCUGAGAGGAUGAUCCGCCACACUGGAACUGGAACACGGACCAG
rnacentral:rRNA from 1 species